CCCCAUCAGUCAGUCAGUCUGUCCAUCCAUCCACCUCUGGAAUCUUGUCGACUCUGCUCUCUCCCACCGUGCAGAUUCACCUCGUCACUUCUGGUGGUACCACUUGGUCUGCUGGCUGCUGAGCGCCGCUGGGAUCGUCUGCAUCCUCGUGGCGCACGAACACUACACGGUCGAUGUCAUCAUUGCGUAUUACAUCACAACACGGCUGUUUUGGUGGUACCACUCCAUGGCCAAUGAAAAGAACUUGAAGGUCUCUUCCCAGACUAAUUUCUUGUCUCGGGCUUGGUGGUUCCCCAUCUUCUAUUUUUUUGAAAAGAAUGUGCAAGGCUCCAUUCCUUGCUGUUUCUCCUGGCCGCUGUCCUGGCCCCCUGGCUGCUUCAAGUCAUCGUGCAAAAAGUAUUCUCGAGUCCAGAAGAUCGGGGAGGAUAAUGAGAAGUCUACCUGAGCGGCCGACACGACAGCCGCUUUUCCACCCAAAGAGUCCGUGCUGUAACCAAAGGCACAGCUUCCUAUUUAUUUUCAGAGAACUGACUGGUGAAACGAAGUGGACCAAAUUUUAUGCAAAAGAUUGGAGCAGUGAAGUAUUACCUUUCGGCUUUUUUUCUUCAUUCAUCCCAAGAAACAUAUAUUUUCCUGUAGCUCUCCAUUCAGGGAGGACAAGGCCCCAAGCUGGAGUUCUGCAGAGGCAAAAGAGAACACGCUAAGCCUCUCCUCAUCUUCCUUCACUUCCACACUCUUUCCAGAUUGCUUUUUUUCCUCCCUUCAAGGUCAGAAGAGUUUGCUAAUGUUUUGAAUAAAAUGUCCGGAUAUAUACA
rnacentral:lncRNA from 1 species